AUGCCCAACAUGCGCUUUCCAGAAGCAUCAUCUCAUCCAGCAGUCAAAAAUGUUGAAGAAUGCAAAUUAAUCUAUGUGAGCAGUUGUUAUUGUGUUGCUUACUCUUAUAAUAAUGGGUGUUUAAUUUACAAAAGAGCAUGUAUAAUUCUACAACAAAUUUCUUCUAAUAUAGCGUUAGGUGGAGAUUUUCAUAUUCGCAUAUCUGCAUCUAAACUGGUGGGAAGUAAAACCAAGAUAUCGAAAAAGGCUACUUGGAUUGUUGGAGUUCUCGCUGUGCUCAUUCUUCUCAUUGGCAUUGUAUUGGCAAUUAUUUGGAGGGGACAUUAUGUUGGUGUACUGGAAGAAGUAGAGUUUUCUUUGACUUUGUUCAAGUAUCAAGAUUUACGAAGAGCAACAAAAAAAUUCUCCCAAAAACUUGGGGAGGGAAGUUUUGGUUCUAUUUUUAAAGGGGUAUUGCCGAAUUCAACAACUAUUGCAGUGAAGAAGAUAAGAAGUCUCGAGCAAGGUGAGAAGCAAUUCCGUGCAGAAGUUAGCACACUCGGAGCAAUCCAACUUGUCAAUCUUCUUCGCCUUCAUGGUUUUUGUGUAGAAGUUUCAAAAGAUUUCUUGUCUAUGAUUACAUUCCAAAAGGUUCUCUAGAAUCCCAUUUGUUCCAAAAUGCAUCCAAGAUUUUGGAUUGGAAGACAAGAUAUCAAAUUGCGAUUGGGAUUACCAAAGGGUUGGCUUACCUUCAUGAUAAUUGCAGAGAUUGUAUCAUGCAUUUUGACAUCAAACCUGAGAACAUAUUGUUGGAUGCUGAAUAUAAUCCAAAAAUGGCUGAUUUUGGUCUCGCAAAAAUAAUUGGACGGGACUUCAGUCGUGUGCUGACCACCAUAAGGGGAACUAGGGGCUAUCUAGCACCAAAAUGGAUUUCGGGUGAAGCUGCUACCCCAAAAGUUAAUGUUUUCAGUUAUGGGAAGCUUAUUUUCGAGAUAGUAUCUGGUAGGAGAAAUAUGGACAUGCUAGAUGGUGAUGAUGAAGAGAUACGUAACUACUUUCCAGCUCGUGUUGCAAUUGCCAUAAACAAAGGGGAAGACCUUCUGACACUACUAGAUCACAAAUUAGAGGGAAAUGCCAACAUGGACGAGCUAAUUAGAGCUUGUAAAGUUGCUUGUUGGUGCAUUCAAGAUGAUCCAAGGGAUAGACCAACUAUGGGCCAGGUAGUUCAAAUUCUUGAAGGAGUGAUGCAAGUGGACGUGCCUCAAAUUCCUCUAUAUUUCCAACGCCUUUCAGAAAAUCCAAUGGUAGCGAUUGUUUCUCAAGAGAUUGAGACUUCUUCAAGUUCAUAUUGAUGGGCACAAGGUACUGUCUUAACUCUGUCUUUACAAUCAGUGCACUCUUUGUAGUCAUAACAAUGCUUAU